CAGCAGCCGCGGGAAUACGUAGGUGGCAAGCGUUGUCCGGAAUUAUUGGGCGUAAAGGGCUCGCAGGUGGUUUCUUAAGUCUGAUGUGAAAGCCCCCGGCUCAACCGGGGAGGGUCAUUGGAAACUGGGAAACUUGAGUGCAGAAGAGGAGAGUGGAAUUCCACGUGUAGCGGUGAAAUGCGUAGAGAUGUGGAGGGACACCAGUGGCGAAGGCGACUCUCUGGUCUGUAACUGACGCUGAGGAGCGAAAGCGUGGGGAGCGAACAGGAUUAGAGACCCCCGUAGUCCCUGUCUCUUAUAA
rnacentral:rRNA from 1 species